rnacentral:rRNA from 1 species
CCUACGGGAGGCAGCAGUGGGGAAUAUUGGGCAAUGGGCGCAAGCCUGACCCAGCAACGCCGCGUGAAGGAAGAAGGCUUUCGGGUUGUAAACUUCUUUUCUCAGGGACGAAGAAAGUGACGGUACCUGAGGAAUAAGCCACGGCUAACUACGUGCCAGCAGCCGCGGUAAUACGGAGGUGGCAAGCGUUAUCCGGAUUUACUGGGUGUAAAGGGCGUGUAGGGGGGAAAGCAAGUCAGAUGUGAAAACCAUGGGCUCAACAUGUGGCCUGCAUUUGAAACUGUUUUUCUUGAGUACUGGAGAGGCAGACGGAAUUCCUAGUGUAGCGGUGAAAUGCGUAGAUAUUAGGAGGAACACCAGUGGCGAAGGCGGUCUGCUGGACAGCUACUGACGCUGAGGCGCGAAAGCGUGGGGAGCAAACAGGAUUAGAUACCCUGGUAGUC